AUACAUCACUCGUACACGCCGGCUCCUCCGCGCUGUCCGCACUCACCCGAAGACUGUGCGCUGCGUUGUGUGAGCC
rnacentral:sRNA from 1 species